rnacentral:rRNA from 1 species
CGGGUGAGUAAUGUCUGGGAAACUGCCUGAUGGAGGGGGAUAACUACUGGAAACGGUAGCUAAUACCGCAUAACGUCGCAAGACCAAAGAGGGGGACCUUCGGGCCUCUUGCCAUCGGAUGUGCCCAGAUGGGAUUAGCUAGUAGGUGGGGUAAUGGCUCACCUAGGCGACGAUCCCUAGCUGGUCUGAGAGGAUGGCCAGCCACACUGGAACUGAGACACGGUCCAG